rnacentral:lncRNA from 1 species
UGUUACCUUUGCUACCUUGCGCGCGCCAUGUUGUUUCUCACCUCCAAGGCCUGAUUGCCGUCCCUGUCAGCAGACUAUGGACUGAAACCUCUACAAAUGGUGUACAGAGUUUGUCCUGGGAAAAUGUAUAGAUGCCAGCUGCAGUUUUACCUUUGGAAAGAAUGCCAAAUCGGUAAUCACAACAAAGCCUCUCCAAACAAACCAUGGUUUACUCAUCAUCUAUAUAAGGCAAAGGAAAAAGAAAAAGGUAAAAUUAUGAACUGGACCUCAGGACUACUGGAUUUUGCUCCAUACUUGUUCGCUAGACAGCUGUAUGGCUUUAGCAGCUUCGAAGGCGAGGAUUGUGCUAAAACUUCAGCCAUUACAGAACUGGAUUAUGGACACACAUGACCUAUUCAAGUAAUUCCCAAACCCAGCUGCUGAUCAGUAUCACUAGGGAGCUCCUAGUGAUACUCCAUGUACCCGCAGAAAUUGAUUCAAUGUCUGUGGC